CUGUAAUUCAGGUGGGAUAACAAACAAAAACAAAAAAAAUCACCAAAGGGUAAAACCGGAAAUGGAAUUACGUCACUUCCUGUUCGUCAGUUGGUCUCCUGCUUUGAAAUUGAGGCAAUCGUUUUCAGCCGGAUGGUUACCCCCUGUGCUAGUGGAAGAUGUGACUUUGAAGACAGUCAUUGUAAAAGGUGCAAAAGGCUUGUCUAAGAUAAGCUGGCAGUCUACACCGCAUGGCCUGCGUUGCUGACAUUAAGUGAAGUUAAUGCAGAGUUCCUGUGCCUGACAGAUACUUGAGGAAGCAUCUUGGAGGUUGUCAAGGAGAAGGGAGGCGUUGCCAGAAGGAAGGACUGGAGUGGCGAAGUGAUCCAAAGGCAGACUGCACAUCUACGUAUAUGGUUUGCAAGGAACAUCCCGUGCCAGAGACUGUGAUACAAGGCAUGGAGCUGUACAGUGAACUCGGAGCAUCUCUUGUGCAUGUGUGAUGCUGUUUGGACUCGGUUACCGGUAUAUACCCUCAAUCUCAACUCUGUGGAUUUGGAUUUACAAUUUUAAGUAUCCAGAUGAACUGAAAUAUAUGUUCUGGUGAAUUUGGAAAAUAUGCCCAAAAGGUCCAAUCACUAUAAACUACAGUAAAUAUGUUGGACACUGGCAAUCUCAGGUUCUAAGCCAUUGUAUAAAAGGACAAUCCAUCGCAUUUCUAUUAAUACUUUUGUGUGCUGUUCUCUGAUCUGAGUUGAUGAUUUUUUUGUCCUUUUUUGUCUUUUGUCAGCAUGGCAUUGAGUAUCAUUGAGGGGCUUUUUUCUAAACAUUGGCUAUGCGAUUAAAAGAUGAGCACUAUAAGGAAAGGCGUAAUAACGCCUCAGUAGCACUUCAUGGACACAUUGAUAUCAUAAUUAAAAACAUUUCUCUCUCCCUCUCCUCCCAGCAAAG